rfam:Ictidomys tridecemlineatus contig038496, whole genome shotgun sequence.
CGAGCUGUGGCUCAGAGGUAGUGUGCUUGCCUGGCAUGUGGGAGGAACUGGGUUCAAUUCUCAGCACCACGU